ACUCAAAGGAAUUGACGGGGGCCCGCACAAGCGGCGGAGCAUGCUGAUUAAUUCGAUGCAACGCGAAGAACCUUACCAAGGCUUGACAUACACCGGAAACUUCCAGAAAUGGUUGCCCCGUAAGGUCGGUGUACAGGUGGUGCAUGGUUGUCGUCAGCUCGUGUCGUGAGAUGUUGGGUUAAGUCCCGCAACGAGCGCAACCCUCGUCUUAUGUUGCCAGCACGUUAUGGUGGGGACUCAUAAGAGACUGCCGGGGUCAACUCGGAGGAAGGUGGGGAUGAGGUCAAAUCAUCAUGCCCCUUAUGUCUUGGGCUUCAAGCAUGCUACAAUGGCCGGUACAAAGGGCUGCGAUACCGCGAGGUGGAGCGAAUCCCAAAAAGCCGGUCUCAGUUCGGAUUGGGGUCUGCAACUCGACCCCAUGAAGUCGGAGUCGCUAGUAAUCGCAGAUCAGCAACGCUGCGGUGAAUACGUUCCCGGGCCUUGCACACACCGCCCGU
rnacentral:rRNA from 1 species